UACCAUCACAAGCGUCCCUUCUUCCUUACAUGCAUACUACUCCCUCUGUACCAAAUUUUUUGUCUUAUAUUAAUUUAGAUACAUUCAUACGGAUGUAUCUAAGACAAAAAAUUUAGGACGAAGGGAGUACAUUCUUGUCGUACGUCGUCAGGCAUUUUGCAAAAAAAUCCCCCUAUUUCUAAAACAUUAACCCGCAGUCCUACUUAAAGUGAGUACUAAUGGAUAACGUUUCGUUUUUUGCAAAACACCCCCUACUACCACCGGCCACCUCCACCACUUAUCCAUUGCCAUCGCCGGCCACACCCCGCUGCUUGCCGCCGGCGUCGACGCCGCAGAAGCCAAGGCAGUGCGUCGCUGCGGGCGUCCACGACGCCCUAGACCAGGAAUGGGGCGAGGCAUGACGGCGGGCGUUGUAGAGCGCGGCGGACCGAGGCGUCGCGUCGGAGGGUGAUAAGGCGGCCGGCGUGCUCGCUUGGGGCGAGGCGUCGGGCCGUUGCAGGUGGCGCGGGGGCCGGGGCGGUGGUUUGACGGGCGACGCGGAGGAGGUGCGUCCUGGAGCCAUCGACAGCGGCUGCAGCGGAACGGCGUGUCCACAUCUUGCUUAAGGGGCUGCGGGCCGUGGGCGGCGCCGUGCUCGCGCGCGAGACCCGUCUCUGAUUUGGAUCGAAUUUCAGUGCAAGAUUCGAUCUCUUCUCCUACUCAUCCUCUUCCGCGUCGAGUCUGGAGCAUGAGUCGCCACCGAACGCCGUGCACCAUGCUCCGCGCUGCUGCCUGCGAUGCCGCGUGCAGGAGCGCGCACCGCCGCGUGUCCUGCUGGCUGUCGACCACGGCCGCCUGCCGCCCGCGCCUCGCCGGGCGCUCCCGCGACCGCGCUCGCUGCACGACGCGCGCCCCGCCGCCUGCCUGCCUUUGCUGCAAUGUUUUUGGCCUCCAGCAUCGACUAUUGGCCUGACCUGCAGCGAGGAAUCAAGGAAGCCUACAGGGUCCUGAGCCUCGGUGGAAAACAUCAGAUGGAUCUCUCUAUCCAUUGACGAGGGAAGAUUUCUGCUUGUGUUAGGGGAAUACUGAAGACACAUUUGCCUGGCGCUUGUCACCGUCAGGCUACUAUUCUGAAGAAUCCAGCUACAAGAUUCUAUGUCAGAGCAAGGAGUGUUUUUGUCUUGCUAAUGCUAUCCGGAAGAGCUAUACAUCAAUGAAUUGUAAAGUUUUCAUCUGGUUUUCUCUCAAGUACAGGAUAUGGAAGUCUGACCGCAGGGUUUCCAGGGGCCUACAGGCGACCAUCUCGCCGUGUUCUCUCUGUCUUCAGGAGGAUGAAACAACGGACCACAUGCUUGUUCAUUGCGUGCUCCCAAUCCCUCAAAUACAAUGCUUGAAUGGUGGCACACUUCUAGACUGCAACUCCGUAAGAACAGAAGGAAGGGGUUUGAUUCUCUUGUCAUGCAAACUUUCUGGACGUAAUGCUCGUGUCUUUGGUAACAAUCAUCAAGUAUUUCCUGAAGCUAGGGUAGGACAUACUUGCAGGAGCCAGAAGUUUAGUACUAAUUGAGUAGGAGCAGUUCCCUGUAAUUUAUGUGUUUUUUUCCUUUACCUGCCCUGGAUGAUGUUUCUGGGUAUUGCCUUGAGUAACACCGGAGUAUAAUAGUAUGCAUUUUGUGUACUAUAAAACAUGUAAGAUUUCAACCCUCAUAUUGCUCAAAA